CGGCUGGAGGUGCGGAAGAAGGCGAUGGUCGAAACUAGGGCAGAGCUGUCCACGAAGAUGUGUUUGCACCUUUGGGAAACAGACCUGUUUUGACCUUGUCGACAGAUGCCGAGGACUGAGCGUUCGCUCCCUCCAGUGCCCCUUUCCUUCGUACAGUGUUAUGGUGAACAGUGAGGAGUGGAGCCCUGACGUAGCCUCUCGCACGUGCCCGCCAGGCCAUCAUCAUGAAGACCGGUGUCGCACUGAUCUUCCUGGCCGCUCUGAUGACCGUGCGUGCCGACGGACCUGAGAUCGGAGGAACUGCUGGCGGAACUGUCGGAUCUUUCCAAAACCCUUUUACGAACAUUUUGAACACUGAAUGCCAAUGCUGUAACCUUCCACA